rnacentral:rRNA from 1 species
CGUCAGAUGAACGCUGGCGGCAUGCCUUACACAUGCAAGUCGAACGGCAGCACGGGGGCAAUCCUGGUGGCGAGUGGCGAACGGGUGAGUAAUACAUCGGAACGUGUCCUGUAGUGGGGGAUAGCCCGGCGAAAGCCGGAUUAAUACCGCAUACGCUCUACGGAGGAAAGGGGGGGAUCUUAGGACCUCCCGCUACAGGGGCGGCCGAUGGCAGAUUAGCUAGUUGGUGGGGUAAAGGCCUACCAAGGCGACGAUCUGUAGCUGGUCUGAGAGGACGACCAGCCACACUGGGACUGAGACACGGCCCAGACUCCUACGGGAGGCAGCAGUGGGGAAUUUUGGACAAUGGGGGAAACCCUGAUCCAGCAAUGCCGCGUGUGUGAAGAAGGCCUUCGGGUUGUAAAGCACUUUUGUCCGGAAAGAAAACCUCUGGGUUAAUACCCCGGGGGGAUGACGGUACCGGAAGAAUAAGCACCGGCUAACUACGUGCCAGCAGCCGCGGUAAUACGUAGGGUGCAAGCGUUAAUCGGAAUUACUGGGCGUAAAGCGUGCGCAGGCGGUCCGCUAAGACAGAUGUGAAAUCCCCGGGCUUAACCUGGGAACUGCAUUUGUGACUGGCGGGCUAGAGUAUGGCAGAGGGGGGUAGAAUUCCACGUGUAGCAGUGAAAUGCGUAGAGAUGUGGAGGAAUACCGAUGGCGAAGGCAGCCCCCUGGGCCAAUACUGACGCUCAUGCACGAAAGCGUGGGGAGCAAACAGGAUUAGAUACCCUGGUAGUCCACGCCCUAAACGAUGUCAACUAGUUGUCGGGUCUUCAUUGACUUGGUAACGUAGCUAACGCGUGAAGUGACCGCAUG